ensembl:misc_RNA Metazoa_SRP Metazoan signal recognition particle RNA
GUCCAGGCAUGGUGGUGUAUACCUGUAGUCCCAGCUACUAGGGAGACUGAGGUGGGAGGAUUGCUUGAGUCCAGGAGUUCUGGGCUGUGGUGCAUUAAGUCAAUCAGUUGUCUGCAUUAAGUUUGCCAUCAAUACGGUGACCUCCCAGGAGUAAGGGAUCACCAGGUUGCCUAAGGAGGAGUGAACCAGAGCAGGUCAAAACUCCUGACCAUUAGUGGGAUCAUGCCUGUGAAUAGCCACUGCACUCCAGCCUGGUUAACAUAGCAACACCUUGCCUCUU